CACCUUCCAUGGCCAUCGAGCCCUGGAGUGGGCUUUGAACUUAAGAGCUUCUAGCUCAGAGACAGGGGCACUACCCUUUGAGCCGCAGGACUUCCUUCUACAAUAUUUGGAGAAAUACCAGAUGAAGGAAAACAAAAGUGAAUGUGCAGAAAUUUGCCAGAUGGAAAUUGAUUGCAGCUGCACCAGCCUGAACUAGAAGCCUUGGUGUGGAGAUGGUGAAAAAUCUUCACUGGAGUUUUGGUUCACAAGGAUAUUUGCUGGAUAAAGGCAUAGUAUGCAGGAAAUCACAACUUAGAAGCACGGCAGCUUUGUGCACACGUUGACCCAGAAUUUACCCUACUUCUGUGGGUGUGAAUUACCACAAAAUGCUAAUUAGAAGAAAAGACUUUCUGACUGUUCUGCUGACCACUGUUGGAAGCUGUGUGAAAACUCCACAAAGGUAUCAAUCUCACGGUAUAAUUCAUGGAAUUCUAUCUGGACCGGCUUCCCACCACAAAUGCCUUUUCCAAAUGUUCCAUGGAAUGUUUAACUUCCUGUUCUAUGUUGGUUAUCCCUUGUGUUGAAUA